rnacentral:rRNA from 1 species
UGGGGAAUAUUGGGCAAUGGGCGCAAGCCUGAUGCAGCGAUGCCGCGUGAGGGAAGAAGGUUUUCGGAUUGUAAACCUCUGUCAUCAGGGACGAAAAAGGACGGUACCUGAGAAGGAAGCUCCGGCUAACUACGUGCCAGCAGCCGCGGUAAUACGUAGGGAGCAAGCGUUAUCCGGAAUUACUGGGUGUAAAGGGAGUGUAGGCGGGACUGUAAGUCAGAUGUGAAAUAUGCCGGCUCAACUGGCAGACUGCAUUUGAAACUGUUAUUCUUGAGUGGAGUAGAGGCAAGCGGAAUUCCGAGUGUAGCGGUGAAAUGCGUAGAUAUUCGGAGGAACACCAGUGGCGAAGGCGGCUUGCUGGGCUCUAACUGACGCUGAGGCUCGAAAGUGUGGGGAGC